GCCUCGUUGGCUCUGUAGGCAGCGCGUCAGUCUCAUAAUCUGAAGGUUGUGAGUUUGAGCCUCACAUGGGUUA
rfam:Danio rerio unplaced genomic contig NA471, GRCz11 reference primary assembly.